rnacentral:rRNA from 1 species
CCCUUAGAUGUCCUGGGCCGCACGCGCGCUACAAUGACACAUGCAACAAGUUCUAUCCUGGCUCGGAAGAGUUUCGGGUAAUCUUUAUAAUGUGUGUCGUGCUGGGGAUCGAUCUUUGUAAUUAUGGAUCUUGAACGAGGAAUUCCUAGUAAGCAUAAGUCAUCAGCUUGUGCUGAUUACGUCCCUGCCCUUUGUACACACCGCCCGUCGCACCUACCGAUUGAAUGGUUCGGUGAAGAUCUCGGACUUCGAUAUUUAUUCUUUAUUGAGUUUAUAUUGUGGGAAGUUAUCUAAACCUCAUCAUUUAGAGGAAGGUGAAGUCGUAACA